GACGAACGCUGGCGGCGUGCCUAAUACAUGCAAGUCGAACGGUCUUUCUAUGGAAGCUUGCUUCCACUGAGAAGAUAGUGGCGAACGGGUGAGUAACACGUGGGUAACCUGCCCAUAAGAGGGGGGAUAACAUCCGGAAACGGGUGCUAAUACCGCAUAGUUUUCUUGAUCGCAUGAUCGGGAAAGGAAAGACGGCCUUUGUGCUGUCGCUUAUGGAUGGACCCGCGGCGUAUUAGUUAGUUGGUGAGGUAACGGCUCACCAAGACGAUGAUACGUAGCCGACCUGAGAGGGUGAUCGGCCACAUUGGGACUGAGACACGGCCCAAACUCCUACGGGAGGCAGCAGUAGGGAAUCUUCCGCAAUGGACGAAAGUCUGACGGAGCAACGCCGCGUGAGUGAAAGAAGGUUUUCGGAUCGUAAAACUCUGUUGUCAGAGAAGAACAAGUUGGAGAGUAACUGCUCCAGCCUUGACGGUAUCUGACCAGAAAGCCACGGCUAACUACGUGCCAGCCGCCGC
rnacentral:rRNA from 1 species